rnacentral:rRNA from 1 species
GAUUCGCCCUUUGAGUUUGAUCGAGGAUAGACCGGCGCCGGGUGCGUAACGCGUAUGCAAUCUACCUUGUACAGAGGGAUAUCCCAAAUAAAUUUGGAUUAAUACCUCAUAGUAUUAUGAUUUGGCAUCAUAUUAUAAUUAAAGUUCCAACGGUACAAGAUGAGCAUGCCUCCCAUUAUCUAGAUGGUAAGGUAACGGCUUACCAUGGCGACGAUGGGUAGGGGUCCUGAGAGGGAGAUCCCCCACACUGGUACUGAGACACGGACCAGACUCCUACGGGAGGCAGCAUUGAGGAAUAUUGAUCAAUGGGCGCAAGCCUGAACCACCCAUGCCACGUGCAGGAUGACGGUCCUAUGGAUUGUAAACUGCUUUUGCACAGGAAGAAACACUCCCUCGUGAGGGAGCUUGACGGUACUGUGAGAAUAAGGAUCGGCUAACUCCGUGCCAACACCCGCGGUAAUACGGAAGAUCCAAGCGUUAUCCGGAAUCAUUGGGUUUAAAGGGUCCGUAGGCGGUUUAAUAAGUCAGUGGUGAAAGCCCAUCGCUCAACGAUGGAACGGCCAUUGAUACUGUUAGACUUGAAUUAUUAGGAAGUAACUAGAAUAUGUAGUGUAGCGGUGAAAUGCUUAGA